rnacentral:rRNA from 1 species
GACGAACGCUGGCGGCGUGCUUAACACAUGCAAGUCGAACGGAAAGGCCCUGCGUUUGUGGGGUGCUCGAGUGGCGAACGGGUGAGUAACACGUGAGUAACCUGCCCUUGACUUUGGGAGAACUUCAGGAAACUGGGGCUAAUACAGGAUAGGAGCUCCUGCUGCAUGGUGGGGGUGGGAAAGUUUCGGCGGGUGGGGAUGGACUCGCGGCUGACCAGCUUGUUGGUGGGGUAGUGGCUGACCAAGGCAUUGACGGGUAGCCGGCCUGAGAGGGUGACCGGCCACCUUGGGCCUGCGAUACGGCCCAGACUCCUACGGGAGGCAGCAGUGGGGAAUAUUGCACAAUGGGCGGGCGCCUGAUGCAGCAACGCCGCGUGCGGGAUGACGGCCUUCGGGUUGUAAACCGCUUUCGCCUGUGACGAAGCGUGAGUGACGGUACUGGGUGAAGAAGCACCGGCUAACUACGUG